UUCUGUCUGUCUGUCUGUCUGUCUGUCUGUCUGUCUGUCUGUCUGUCUGUCUGUCUGUCUGUUGAAUCUUUGAUAGAGUAUAAUCAUGAAGUCAGAAUUUCUGGCCAUGACCUUUGCCCUGUAGGUGUUGAUGGUGCAGUGUGAGCCAUGCAGCUGGAGUGUUAUCUCUCUGACCGCUGUGUAAAAGGUUACAGUAAAAGCCAUAAACAGGGAGAAGAGGGACAUUCCAUACAGCUGAUGGAUGCACUGAACACACGGAGCGCUCGCACUACAGGAAACAUACACAGGUGGUUACUAUGGCAACACAACAACUGUUUAUCCUCAGAAUCUUCAGUUGUGUCCCCAAGGAAAUGAAAAGUCAUUCCAAUAAAACAUCCUGCUUCCUGUCGGACUUCUGUCCCGUCAGUGUGUUUCCCUUGAAGCUUACACGGGAGCGCCGAUGGGAACCCAGCUGUCUCAUUUCACUACAGGCCAGUCUAGGGGAAAACAUCCGGAGCGAGUGAGUGAGGGAGUGAGAGACAGCUCAAACAUGUCAGAUGCUGGACACGUCUCACUGCUGAGAGAGAUGCAACAGAGGUGAAUUCCUGCAAGACGAGAGGAGUGGAUUUCUGAAGCGUGUCACUCAUAAGCGCAGGGUGCUGCUAGGGAAUGGAAAGCUAAGAGCCUUCCUCUGUUUCCUCAGUGCUGUGAUGAGAAAGGAAAGAGGCCAGUCAUCCUGACAGGAAGCUCUGCCAAGCAGAAAGGAAAGUAACACACAACAUCACACCCUGCAUGUCAAAAUGAAAGUGUGACCACACUGCCACGAGGAAACACAACUACAACCAUCAACAAAUAUUUACAUCUCUAUUCCUCCACCGUGCCGCCGGGUUCUCCGCUCCGAUCGGUCAGAAGGCCGUAACGCUCGUCCUAACGCCUUAGUGUUUCCAUGGUAACAGAUUUACCCAUCUGAAGAAGUUUUCAGUAAGAUGUUUGUUUAACAUUUGUUGUGACAGAUGUUUCCAUAGUGACAUAGUGCUUUAAUAUUAAGAGAAG